rnacentral:rRNA from 1 species
UACGAAGGGGGCUAGCGUUGCUCGGAAUCACUGGGCGUAAAGGGUGCGUAGGCGGGUUUUUAAGUCAGGGGUGAAAUCCUGGAGCUCAACUCCAGAACUGCCUUUGAUACUGAAGAUCUUGAGUCCGGGAGAGGUGAGUGGAACUGCGAGUGUAGAGGUGAAAUUCGUAGAUAUUCGCAAGAACACCAGUGGCGAAGGCGGCUCACUGGCCCGGUACUGACGCUGAGGCACGAAAGCGUGGGUAGCAAACGGG